rnacentral:lncRNA from 1 species
GAUAAUUUGUUAUAAAUGCUUCCGCUGCUUUCGUAUAUUAAAUUUGAUUUGUAUAUGCAUGAUAGUCAUUAUGAAAUCCCAUUCUAGAAUCUCAUAAAUUUCCCUUCAAGUGGUAUCAGAGCCAAUGGUUUAUGUAUAAUGUGUCCUUUUGGAUUUUAUGCAUAUGGGUAUUAAUGUUAUGCAUGACAUAUUUAUUGUUUUAUUCAAAGUAUGUUUGUCUUUUGUUUUUCAAUAGUUGAAAAAUGUUAGUCAAAAGUUGAGAAAGAUAUGUUUGCAAAAGUGUUUUGUAUACAUGAAUGAAAAAUGAGUUUAGAACUAGUUUGACAUAUUAUUUCUUCAUUUAAAAGUAUGUUUGUCUUUUGUUUUUCAAUGGUUGAAAAAUGUAAAUCAAGAGUUGAAAAAGAUAUGCAUGUAAAAGUUGUUUUGUAUGCAUGAAUUGAAGAAUAAGUCAUGAACAAAAUUUGGGGUUUUGUUCAAAAGGGAAGGCACGGUUUUGGGGGUGGUUUUUUGGGUUGUGUUUGUGUUUUAUUGUAAACCACUCACACAUCCUAUUAAAGCUUAAAAGUAGUGUUCUUGUCACUUUUGUUUUUGGGUUUGAAAAAUCACCAAGAAUGUACAAAUCUUGAAAUUGUGUUCAUGGUUUUGUUCUUGGUGUUCAUGGUUUGGUUUUGGGUGAAAAUAGUUUUAAUUGGUUUUCAUGCAUGAUUUUAUGGUUUUGGAUGAUGUUCUUACCAUCCAUAACCAUAUUAAAAACUUAUAAAACCCUAGACUUGACUAGGAGGAUUUCCAUCACCCAUCUCACCUAAGUUUUAAUGGCAAAACCAAGUGACAAGUAAAAUUUAAUUUUUCUUACAUAAUGUGGCUUUUAAUGCAUGUUGUGUAAGAUUGUGUAAGAGAACUCCCAUCCCCUUAAUGUGGCCGGCCUCCCUAGUGGAUUUAUCCACUUGUGGGGCUAUUUUGUAAUCUUUAAAAAGUUGAUAUUUACUUUGAAAUAUUUACGGUUUUACCCCUAACUUUUCAUAUUUACAUUUAGGCCCCUACUAA